ACUCUCUUAGUAUUUAAUCAGUACAGCUGACUUCCAAUCAGCUAG
rnacentral:tRNA from 1 species